CAAUUCGUAAAACGAGCUGGGAGAUGCGGGAAAACAGAAAAAGUAAGAAAAUGUGCAGUUUUGCUUUCUUUCCCGCCUAUAGCUACUGUUGUACGAACCCGAUUUUCUUCAAACUAUUCCGAUUCGUCUCGUCAAUAUCUUUCAUUUGACAUAUCGCACACGAUUUUUGAACAA